rnacentral:tRNA from 1 species
GUUGUGGUACAGUGGUAGAGCGCUUGCCUAAGAUGCAAGAGGCAUUGGGUUCUAUCCCUAGCACAAUG